AACGAACGCUAGCGGCGCGCCUAACACAUGCAAGUCGAGCGAGAAAGGGCUUCGGCCCCGGUAAAGCGGCGCACGGGUGAGUAACACGUAGGUAACCUGCCCUUUGGUGGUGGAUAACCUUCCGAAAGGAGGGCUAAUACAGCGUAAGACCACGGUUCCGCAAGGAGCUGAGGUCAAAGCGGGCCUCUGUACACAAGCUCGCGCCAAAGGGUGGGCCUGCGUCCCACCAGCUAGUUGGUAGGGUAAUGGCCUACCAAGGCGAAGACGGGUAGCUGGUCUGAGAGGAUGGCCAGCCACACUGGAACUGAGACACGGUCCAGACUCCUACGGGAGGCAGCAGUGGGGAAUCUUGCGCAAUGGGCGAAAGCCUGACGCAGCGACGCCGCGUGAGUGAUGAAGGCCUUCGGGUUGUAAAGCUCUGUGGAGGGGGACGAAUAAGUGUCGUCGAAUAGACGGCAUGAUGACGGUACCCCUUUAGCAAGCACCGGCUAACUCUGUGCCAGCAGCCGCGGUAAGACAGAGGGUGCAAACGUUGUUCGGAAUUACUGGGCGUAAAGCGCGUGUAGGCUGCUCUGAAAGUCGGAUGUGAAAGCCCUGGGCUCAACCCAGGAAGUGCACUCGAUACUACAGAGCUCGAGUCCCGGAGAGGAAGGCGGAAUUCUCGGUGUAGAGGUGAAAUUCGUAGAUAUCGAGAGGAACACCUGUGGCGAAGGCGGCCUUCUGGACGGUGACUGACGCUGAGACGCGAAAGCGUGGGGAGCAAACAGGAUUAGAUACCCUGGUAGUCCACGCCGUAAACGAUGGGUGCUAGGUGUCGCGGGAUUUGACCCUC
rnacentral:rRNA from 1 species